rnacentral:rRNA from 1 species
UACGGAAGGUCCGGGCGUUAUCCGGAUUUAUUGGGUUUAAAGGGAGCGUAGGCCGGAGAUUAAGCGUGUUGUGAAAUGUAGAUGCUCAACAUCUGAACUGCAGCGCGAACUGUUUUCCUUGAGUACGCAUAAAGUGGGCGGAAUUCGUGGUGUAGCGGUGAAAUGCUUAGAUAUCACGAAGAACUCCGAUUGCGAAGGCAGCUCACUGGGGCGCAACUGACGCUGAAGCUCGAAAGCGCGGGUAUCGAACAGG